UCAAGCAAUGCUCAGAGUUUCAUGGAAAGCAUAUUGCAAACCUCCUUGGAAAUGGCCCUCUGAAAGUUACAAAUGUCUGUAUAUGUGGCAUAGCUUGAAGAUGGGGGGCAUUCUGUGAGCACAGGCAGAACAUCAGAAGAUCUCUCUAGGAACUUUGAAACAUUAUGGAAUGUCCAUGCACCUGAAUGAUGUCAAGAACAUGGCAGAUUCCUGAAGAAGACUUGGACUUUCGGUGGCAUGGAAAGAUGCUAGGUGUUACAGCUACUCAGGUGCCAGAUGACACAGCUGCGUCUCUUGCUAGAGUGUCAAAGGAUUAGCGAUACAUUGGAGAAGAUUUCUGAUCUGGAAUUCUUUAAGAAGAACAAGAUAACUUUCCUCCAGCUUCUUUCAUGAAACCAGAAGUGACCAAUGUAUGGCUGCAAGACUGUAUGCAAUCACCAAUUCACCUUUCUUUGCCCCUUGGAGCUGCACCUGAGGAUAAAUGCUAAAAAUCAGUGUCCUGAUUUCCCACCAUUUUGAGACACAAUAAAGACAAAAACGGCAGUCUAAGCUCUUAAUGGCCUUAAAUCACUCAACUCCAUUUCCAAAACAAGAGAAAUGUACAUUCCCAAACCUGCACCUGUGAAGUGAAUGGUUAUAUCUCCUUCACCUUAUUGCUCCACCCACUGCAAAAUGGUGGCUUUUUGUGGGUUCAGAAUCCUUUAAUUCCAAGAGUAAGUCUUUUGUAUCAAGUCCCAUCUGGUUGGUGUUGAAGAUAGUGGUGUAAAUAUAAAAAGGGAUAGGGGCUACCUUCAGGCCAACAGGCACAGCUGAAGAUUCCAGUCAGACUUUAAUUUCUAAACCACAAACAUUGCAAUGGGAAAAUCAAUGCAUUUGUCUUAAGGUAGGGUCAGAGUGGCAAGCAAAAAUGCAGCAGACACCAUAGCAGGGGUGUCAAAAUGGCAGCCCACAGGCUGGAUGCGCCACAUGCAGGCCACACCCAUUCCAGCUCCGCAAAGAGGAAAAACAUCACGAAAUAUCACAUGACGGCAACUUGACAGCAUGAGUUUGACACCUGUCUCUUAGUGCAUGCUCUAGUGCACAACUACUAGAUAGUUGCAAAUAGAUACCAAAUGUUUUAAUUAUUUGCUCCCAUCUAUUACCUGUCCAGAUAUUUACAUUUCAGAUCUGGCACCACUAGUACUGAUACUACACAGUGCUGCCCACCUUCAGGAGAACAUCCCAAAUUACCAUUGCUUCAGUUUGGCCCCUUGAGUGGCUCCUGUGUACAAGCUCUGGAUACCACAACGUAACUGUAUCUCUAAAUAUAAUCACUAGUGCUUAAACCAAUGAUCAAGGUUUGCCUUGGUGUUCAGAGAGAGAAUUCCAUGUAUGCCCUUAGCCAAGGAAGUUGUAAGUAAGUAGGUAAGUAAGUAAGUAAUUAUAUAAGUUAAAAUUUACGCAUGUUUGUGUUGAAUAUGGAAGGAAAUACAGGCCACAAAUUUCAGAAUCUUCUCAGUAGCAGUUCAAUUAAAGACAGAUUUUUUAUCAGUGCCAAUUAAUGUCUUUCUAAUUGCAGCCAUCAUCUUAUCUUUAAUUUUUUGAGGUUUCUGCUUCUAUUUUGAAACAGAGGAAGGAUUGCCUAAAUUUUUGCAUCCCUAUAGCACUAUUAGUUGCUAUGCUCUGAAGAAGCAUUAGUCAUCUAGAGAGAUAUUUAAAAGGAUUUCCCCACUCAUUCUAGGAAUAUUCAUGUAGGAUCUAUCUGUUUGUAUGCACUUUCCAGAAAAUGUUGAAAUGGGCAGAUUAUUCUCGUUAUUUGCUAGGAGAGAAUUUCCCCCAACUGUUUUAUAUUCUCUUUUAGCUAUCAACAGAAUUAAUAUGAAUUAAUGCUGCUCUGGUUGACAUUUAUUAAUCAGAUUUUCUCUGGCCCCAAAUGAGAGUAAUUAGGAUUUCAUGGAUUUGCUGAUACUUUUUUUCCCCACUCCAUCCACCAUGAUCUGACUGAUAUGAAAUGUAUGUUUAUAUUCUCUAUAUGACAAAAAUCAGACAUUUUACAAAACUUGACCAAGGUAGCCUAUUGCAAUCAGUUCUAUCCACACUGAGAUGUGCAACUUGUAAAGAACUAAGCCAAGGCCAGGUCAAAAGCUAAACUUUAUUUCAUUUCAGCAACAGUGAAAUUAAAUGCAGUGAAUCUUACAACUUGUCAUAUGUUCCAUAGGGUAUAAUGCUGAAAGCUUAUAGAAUGACUUCGGCCCAACUUCCUCUACCCCAGCGGUUCUCAACUUGUGGAUUGCGACCCCUUUUGGAGUCGAACAACUGUUUCACAGGGGUCGCUGAGACCAGCGCAACUCUAAAGUUUAGACUCCACCUCACGUUCCUUCAAAUCCCCGCGGAUGGGUUCCUGAAUGUCCGUGCAGAGGUCACUGCGGCUCCACACCAUAAAAACAUAGGUCUGUAAUUUGAUUGUUUUUAGGAGCAUAAACAGUAUGGGAUUCUUCAGAAUAUAGAAAACUUACAUGAAGGAGUUCUUCAAAUAGUUUGAGUAAAAUUUUGGUGACAAUAUCACCUCCAAAGCUACAUUUGGGAAUGCCUAACUGCUCCCCUGUAUUGAUUUUGGAUUGAAUCUACUAUUAUUAUUAAAGUUACUUAUCAGUUUUCAAAUUCAUUGGGGUACAGGUGUCCAGAGAUCUUCCUAAAAUUGCUCCUAUACUAAUAUUAUUUAUUAGUAUAGGAGCAACAAAAGGAAAAGUAUUAAAUAUACUAGGAGAUAAUAAUUUUAAUCGUAUUUCAGUAAUUUAAAAUAAAUAAAGUUUCUGGCCCAGAUCUGCCCACAUCUUUGCCCUAGCUCAACCUUCUUUUUUCAAAUAUGGCCUCAGAUGCCAUUGAGAGACCCAACGUGGGCCUUGGCUCCUGAAGAUCAGUGAUUGAUGGAUGCUAGGAAUGUGCGAUCUAAAAAAAAAAAUCAACUGCAGACUUCUCCAGCUUGGUUUGUCCAGAUUGAUGGUACUCCAACACCCAGACUUCUGUGCCCAAUUCUAGGAAUUCCAGCUUAAAAUAUUCUUGAACUCAAAAUGGGCCAAAAUGAGGAAAGCUGACCAACUACAUUUAUAUGCACGGUUCUAUAGUUGCCAUGGAAGCAAAAAGCACCAUGGGGAUAUUGACAGUCAACUGAUAUUAUAUUAAAAUCCUGAUGCCUGAUCAUCGCCUGAUGCUGGAAUAAUAUUGUUCCCAUUAUCAUAAUUCUAGAAUGGGGAAAAGAAGGGAAAGGAGGGGCCUAUCCACUGGCGAGAUUCAGCCGGUUCACACUAGUUCAGUAGAACUGGUUGCUACUUUUUUAUGGAGUUCAGCGAACCGGCUGAAUAGCGUGCCUUGCCAUGCCACAGCAACGGCCCCACCUCGCCCCUCCCUUCCCUGCCAGAAAGUGGCCAGGAGACUAGGCGAUGGCCAUAUAAUCUGUUGGGUGAGGCCAGGAGGCCAGGCGAAGUGAGGCACCCCUUGACGUGAGUGAUGUUGAGUUGGCCACGUCCACCCAGUCAUAUAACCACCCAGCCACGCCUACCCAGCCGGUCAUUAGGACAGAGAACCAGUUGUUAAAUUAUUUGAAUCCCACCACUGGGCCUAUCUAGAUGUAGUCUGACCAUAGGAAAUGCCUGACAGAGUGGCAACCCCUCUUCUAGAAUUUACAAAGAAGAAAGUUCUGGGGAACAGUAGAAACACUGAACACUGAAGGAUAUGUUGGCUACAGAUAGUUUCACAUUCCGUUUGUCACUCUUGUAUUUCUAUGGCAUUAUUUCCCAGAGUUUACAACAGACAUUACAUGGCAUGUGAAAAUAAUCUUUUUAAAAAAAGGCAAGCUAGAAGAGUUAGCAAAAACCUUCAAGGAAAUGCUAAGUUUGAAUGAAAUAAUGUGGAGAGAGAAUUAAACUGCACAAGGACAAGGAAAGGUGUUGCCAAAGAAACAGCUUAUGAAGAUAAGAUAAAUUAAGCAUACUUGACAAGCCAUUUCGCACAGAGAAGAGAAUCAUUGCAUCACAAAAUCUAAAUAAAGAAAUACUGAACAACAGGUGCAUGAUCAACUGUGAAUUAAACUAUGUAAGAGGAGGCUGUUAGAAGCUAUUUUCCUGGCUAAGCAUCUGCAUUCAAAUGGAAGAUUUUAUGUCAGCAUGUAUAAGAAAGCAUUUAUUAAGAAAUAAAAUCUAAGAAGAAAUGGUUAUCAUCAGGUUAGUCUUUGGGAAUGCAUAAAACUGACUAACAUAGGACCUCAAUACCAUAUUCAGUUGGAUUAAUUAUGCAAUUCCCUAGGGUGGGAAAAGAAAAAUCUGUAGUAUACAGAAGAACGUGUGAUCAAUGUCACAUGGAAAAUGAAUGUAGUUGCCUAUGUACCAACAUGAGAUUCAGAGCAAUUAUUCUAUAUGACAUUAAAAUUCCAUAAAGAACAAAUACGACUCUUAUUGUACCAAAAGUCAAAUGGAUUUUAAAACUCAUUCAAAUGAUUACUUCAGUAGGCAGAAUGAAAAGAAAACCAAUUAGUGGAUAUAUCAAAGUUAUAGGAUGGACGGGGCAUAUUGGAGAUGUGGCAUUUUUAACCAAGUGAUUAGACUACAACAAACACAGCAUUACUUCUACAAUUCUCUAUUCUGUGGAUAACUGCAGACAAUUCAGCAGAUUCCACAAAAUUAUAUGAUAGCAAAAUGUCCAGUAGUCAGAUGCUUAAAGAAGCAGCAGCACUUAAAAUUGGACAAUUUCAUUAAUAACCUCUAGUUUGGAAGGGAACAUUAAUAGAAAUAACUAUUAUUAGAGGAAUAAAGGAUUCUGUUGUGCACAAUAAGAAAGAAUAAGAGUAUAUGUGUACAAUUCUAAUCAAAUUUGGUGUGCCUGUCCUGAGGCACAGCAAAUUGCUCUAAAGCUGUUUUCAAGGUAAGAAAUUUUGAUGAAAUCUUUUUCAAUAAUAGGACAUUAAAGCUUUACAUGAUUUAUUUAUUGUGUGUAUAUAGUCAUCCAUCUAAAAAAAAUUACUCUAGCCAUCAAAGGCUCGGGAAUAUUCUUUUGUAAAUAGUACUUCAUAUAGCAAUACCUGUACCAGCUCAGGGAAUUUUCAUUUAGCAAUAGCAAUAGCAGUUAGACUUAUAGCAAUAGCAGUUAGACUGCCGCUCUGAUUGCGUCCGCUAAGUCGCGCCCUGCCACCUUGUUU